CGCACAAUAUAAUAUUACUGCUGCGCCCUGGCUAAGGUUGGCUAGAGGUAGAUUAUUGCACACAACUUGACCAGUCGUCUUAGACCGGGAAGAAGGACACAGUCGAUUAGACCCUACUGUCGGUAUCUGAAACUCGAGUAGGCCGAAGAUGAAGGGAUCGCUGACGAUCUUGCUCCUGUUGGUCACCAUGGUGGCAGUGAAUGACGCUGAGGAAUGCCUGUGCCUGCCACUGUGUCAUUGCAUCAACCGUCAGCACGCCGUCCGCGCCUUAGCAGAGCGCAAGGCUCGAGACCUGACAGCAGAUGUUCCCCAGGUGAAUUAUGAGGCAGAGGAGAGGGCCGAAAAUGAUGGGAUCCUCGCCAAGCUCGGGAUAAAACCCUAAUCCACACCGACUUCGGCCUCUAAAUGCGAUUGCCGUGUGAGGGGCCUUGUUUGCUGUGACGACUGAAGGAUGACAUCAUCCACUGCUAUGCAUGCUUCAUGACGUACCCAAGCUCAGGCAUGCAUCGUUGCCAGGCCCCCUUUGUGCUUUAAGCAGUAGCAGUUUGAAGUUUGUAACUCAAUUAGCUUCGGCUUGCUUGACAGUUGUCAUUUUAAAAAUCUUUACCCCAGAUUUCGCAACCAUAUAGCAUUUAAUUGAUUUGAUGCACACGUCGAAAAUCCUUAAUAAAGCUUUCAAUGAGAUCUGUGAGCGGAUAAAAAUAUUAAGAGAUUUGAUACUUAAAACCGUUUUCCGGGAUUUUAAAGCAGGUUGUUUUUUUAGCUAGUGAGAAACUGCCAGAUGAGGACAACAACAGACCUAGAGAGCAGUACGACGUAGUAUGCUGUGUUUUCUGAGCCGAUCAAGAAUUUUGUAUUUCUAUAUAUACGCGCCCUAUAAACACACUAGUAGUCAGAAACGCCGUUCAACACUCGUAGGACUUGUAGAUCUGAACAAGUUUGGCUGCCUAACUGAUACCUCAAUACUAUGUGUAAAGCUUUACUUAUCGAUGGCCAACAGGCUAUGAUAGAAAACCAGUACUAUCGGUUUACAACACAUUUGCGAAGCGCCAGUCACUGUAGCAAUGUUUUGUUUUGUUUUUAAAUCUUUCUGAUAAUCUGUACGGUUUCACCUGGCUCGAUGUGAUCCAGUUAAAAGUCAUGCAAAAUUGGCUGUUAAUCUUGGUAAUUCUCUUGUCUUUAUUGCUGUGUGUUACAAAAGGAAUAAACCUGCAUUUUGUGCAC